rnacentral:lncRNA from 1 species
CGAAUGAAUUGUGGGAAAUACGGUAUUCCCGUUCAUCUCACUUAAUUUAUACUCAUGCGUUCGAACUCACUUUCAUAAGAUAUAAGGACCAUAAUGAUUUUCAGCAACCAUGAGAUGUCGACAACACGUCCAAACGAGUCCAAAAGCAUCGACGAAUUUGCAGAGUCAAUGAAACAUGGCUGAUAAUUUUCCCGAGGCAUAAAAAUAAGCAUUAUAUAAUUAAUAAAAAUAUUAGGCGAAGAAUCAUAUUCAAAACGUCGUGAAACAUGUUAUUAGAAAAGGUCUCACCGACAUACUGGGGCGCCGACAGGGUCCGGCAUCAACUUCACCGAAACACGCAAAUGAGUAGUGCUUCUUGAAGGUUUCGACGAGAGGAAUCCAAAAAUGAUGUCAGUUUUUCAAGACGAUGAACGUGUUGGCCGGAGUUUGGCAACACAGCCGCGGCGAGGGUGAAAACCCAUUUUUUU